GACCGGUUUCCGAGCAACGGGCGACGAGCGACGGUCGGUGAUUGUGAAGUAAACAUUCGUUACGAAAAGAUACGAUAAAUCGCGAUUCUUUGCGUUAUUACGCAGUGAAAAUUAAUCCCUUCGUUUGAUAAUCAAUAAUCUAGAGUAGGUACGUGAUUAGUGAAUCCCUUAGGAGUAGACUCCUGCAAAAGUUUAGUGCAAAAUCUAAAUAAAAUUGUAACCAUGUCUUCACCUAAUGAAUCGAAGUUGUCGCACACAUCAACCUACAUCCAUGAGCCGCACUCCACUUACGUAUGAUUCCAACAUCCCUUUCCAGUGAAUUGCACUUGAAUCUGCCCCACUGUUUCAUCACAGUGAUUAUCAUGUGCGAAACACUUUCAGUUGAUUUGUUUUGUUUUUAUAUGUCAAAUGAAGUGCCGUUAGUGCUGAAAGUACAAAAAUGGCGACAGAUGAAAAGUCAACGAGUGUCAUACGGCUCAGAAGUUUUAGGAUUUUCCAGACUACAUCUGUAAAUUUUUGGAAGCACAAGAUCACAGAGAUUCUGAUGAAAACAUCUUUUCGCUAGAGGC